UGUGGCUAAUAGUACCGUUGAGUUGCUAGGUGGAGAAAGACUAGUAGAUGGUAUAUGGUGUUCUAAAUAACCAAGUUAAGGAGUUUUGAUUGAUAGUGUAGAGCCUUUUGAUAAGAUCUUAAUCCUCAUAGUAGAGAUAUAUAAGUUUGGAGUCGCGAUAUUGGUAGGCUAUGACGGAAGUAAAAUGGUUCAUCGGAGACUUGGUGACAUCUAUGUUAAGUGUUAGAAUCUAAGUUUGGGUUUUUGAAGAUUGAGGUAAUAGAAAUAAGAGUUGAAGCGCUAGAGGGUGUACACUUUAACUAUAGGGAUACUCAUGAAGACCCGAAGUUAGUAAGUGUGCAAGUAUUAUAUGAUGACUAUUGGGGGCUAUGGAAAGAUAGAGUGUAUCUCAAAAGGUAGCAUUAGCAAUGGGUUUUCCACUUCCAGGUGUAGUCAUUCAGGUUAAGUUCUAUUAAUUAUGUGUAUUGUAGUAUUCUAGAUCCCUGAGUACAAUGAGUGUAAUUCAAUUUAGAGUUUAGUAAGGAUCUCUCAAACUUAAGAUGAUGGCUUAAGGCUAAGGGGGAGACGAUAGAACAAGUAGCCAAGUCACGCUCUUAGAUUCUAGCAGAAAUGCCUGUAUGAUAUAGAACACCAGAAGGUGAGAGUGAGAACCCAUUCCUAUCUUAUUAUUUUUCAGUUAUCCCAAUGCCUACUCAUGCCUUACGUUUUAGUUCCAUGAUCAUAGUUUAUGUUCAUGCAUAUGAUAGAAAAUCAUGUGCUCUUCCAGUUCCUAAAUGAGGAAUUCUAGUUCAUUCAGAAGUUGAAAUCACAUUCCAUAAGUUAUGAACUCUAAAUUGAGGUCAUGCAGCUCAUGGCACAUGUAUUCACGCCUUAUAAUGUGCUCAGUUUCCACAACUCAUGCUACACGCCAAAUGAUUGGCUAGAUUCAGCUUAUAGCCAGGUAUGCCCUCGAUUCAGAUCACUUUGAUGAAUCCCUGAUGUUGAUUUGCUAUUCCUUAGGCAUCAGUUAAGUGUUAAGUCUCGUAUAAUAUCCUUCCAUGCUUUAAGGUCUUAUGUUCUAACCUUUUAGUGACUCCUCCUUAUGUAAUGAUAAUGGUGGUGAGUAAAUGUUUCUUGUUGAUGAAAGAUUAUUGCAUGCUUGUUUUAAAUAAGGCCAUAAGUGUGAAGUAAGAUUUGGGGCCAAGUCAUUGAUAUGUGUGAUGGUUAGUGGAAAUUUGUGUGUGUAUGUUCUUAGGUUAGCGCAUGGGAGCUAUAUUGAUAAUGGUUUAGGGAAUACGUGAAGUAUGUCUUUAUGGGUGUUUGCCUUAAAGUUCACAUGUGGUUGUAAAGAUAUGCUUGAAUGUCUGCUUCAUCUGCAAAAAGCCUAGCCACUAUUAUAGAAAUUGUCCUCAGGCCAAAAAGUUGAAGGACUCUAUCUACCUCUUUGAAGAAAUAGUUGAUCACGCAAGAAUCUAUCUCAGCAAAGAGGAGGACCUUGAAUCACUCUUCUUACUGGAAGAAGAAUCGAUAUAGGACAUCGUCUUCCCUAUAGACAUAUACGAAGAUUCAAGCGACAUCUAUAUUGAUGAUCUCUACCUGAUAUCCAGUACUAAAGAAGACAACCAAAAACUGGCAAGUCAAAUCCUCAUGUUCAAUAUAGAAGGAAUUCUAUCUUCCAAUAUAACAGACUGCCCUCCAGAUCUAUUCAACCAAUAUGUGGAUCCCUUCGAUCCAUCUAUCCUCCAAGAAAGAGCAACCAUCUACGAGCUUCAAGACUUCAGAAAGUAUGGCGGAUCCAUCCAGAAUCCGUUCAGAGUGCACCCGAAAUAUCUUUUCUGCCAUUGGCCAGAAAAGCACUUAGAGCUCUUAAAGGACUCGUGAAAUUUCAGGCUCUGGUAAGAGGUUUCCUAGUUCGAAAAAGAGCUGCUGCAACUCUUCACAGCAUACAGGCACUCUCUGUUGUUCGUUCUUAAAGAGCUCAUCGUUCAAUGACUAAUAACACUAGACACCAACCCGAGAUGCGAGCUAGGAGGUCCCAUAGUGUGUGUUUGCAGACAGUGUCAGCUGUGGUAACUGAGAAGUCCUCCCUAGUGAAUUCAGAUGCUCAGCCAUCUAGCAGCAGGGGUGAUGCACAUCACCAGCAAAACAAUCAGAAACCAGAUGAAAUUAAAUAAUAAGAGUUUAAAUGUGAAGUGCAAAAUGCACUGGACAUAGAGAAACUUCAGUCUGAUCUAGCCGCAGCAGUUAGAGGUAAUGACAUUCUCAAAUGUGAAGUGCAAAAUGCGCUGGGCACUCUUUCUUGUGCCAAAUACAAGUUGAAAGAUCUCGAGCUUCAGGUGCUAAAAAAGGAUGAAAAUAUCAACCAGCUCACAAAUGAUUUGCAGGAAUGCACGAAGGAACUGGGCAUUUGUGGGAGGAAGUUAAGAGCUACAGUGAGAUGAAGUGAGAUGAACAUGCUGUUGAAUUAUGAGAUCAACAUGUUGAAACAGAAGGUAGAUACCCCGACGAAGACAUUCUUAUGAAAGAGGGUCAAAUCAAAAUCUUGAAAGACUCGAUAGGAAAACCUUUCGACCUUCUUGCAAGUCAUGAUUCUCUGCUAGAGAAUUUCUGUUGGAGUGAUGGAUGAUAAAUGGCCAAACUACAACAUAUUUUGUUCAUUGACUAGUGUUCAUACUUCUCAUAUACUUACUGGUUUUACUCUUAUUCUUUCCCCCUUUGAUAUUAAUAGAAAGUUUGCUUCUUUCUUUUGCAACCUUUUUGAAUCUCCAAUUGUAAAUAUUUCUUUUACUUGGUGGUGAUCAAGACAAUGAACUUGUUUUGCUUCAUUUGGUUUUGUAAGUAUUGGCUGUUUUUUGUCUUAUGAAGUAUUUAGUGAAGAUUGGUGCUACCAUAUUCUACUCGUCUCUGAGGAGGUAUGGCUUGCAUACAUUUUGCCCUCCCCAAA